AGCUUUGUUUUGGUGGGUUAUUUGACAUUGAGAAUGAUGAUAGGAACGGUUGGGGGCAUUUGUAUUUGGCCGCUAGAGGUGAAAUUCUUGGAUUGGCCGAAGACAAACUACUGCGAAAGCAUUUGACCCAGGACGUUUUCAUUGAUCAGGGACUAAAGUUGAGGGAUCGAAGACGAUUAGAUACCGUCGUAGUCUUAACCACAAACUAUGCCGACUAGCGAUUGGGCCUUGACCUUUGGUCAGGUUCAGCAGCUUAGCGAAAGUAUAAGUCUUUGGGUUCUGGGGGGAGUAUGGGACGCAAGGCUGAAACUUAAAGGAAUUGACGGAAGGGCACCACCAGGAGUGGAGCCUGCGGCUUAAUUUGACUCAACACGGGGAAACUCACCAGGUCCAGACAUAAGAAGGAUUGACAGAUUGAAAGCUCUUUCUAGAUUUUAUGGGUGGUGGUGCAUGGCCGUUCUUAGUUCGUGGAGUGAUUUGCUGGUUAAUUCCGAUAACGAACGAGACCUUAUUCUGCUAAAUAGCUAGGCCAACUUUUUAGUUGGUUGCAUGGUACCUUCGGGUACCCUAGCUUCUUAGAGAGACUACUGAAUUCAAUUCAGUGGAAGUUUUAGGCAAUAACAGGUCUGUGAUGCCCUUAGAUGUUCUGGGCCGCGCGCGCGCUACACUGACAAAAUCAUCGAGUUUUUUUCUUUGGCCGUGAGGUGUGGGUCAGCUAAAGAAAUUUCGUCUUCGCUUGUGAUAUCCCCUGGAAAAAAGUAU
rnacentral:rRNA from 1 species